rnacentral:rRNA from 1 species
CAGUAGCCGCGGUAAUACCGAUGGUGCAAGCGUUAAUCGGAAUUACUGGGCGUAAAGCGCGCGUAGGUGGUUUGUUAAGUUGGAUGUGAAAGCCCCGGGCUCAACCUGGGAACUGCAUCCAAAACUGGCAAGCUAGAGUACGGUAGAGGGUGGUGGAAUUUCCUGUGUAGCGGUGAAAUGCGUAGAUAUAGGAAGGAACACCAGUGGCGAAGGCGACCACCUGGACUGAUACUGACACUGAGGUGCGAAAGCGUGGGGAGCAAACAGGAUUAGAUACCCGUGUAGUCCCUGUCUCUUAUAC